rnacentral:rRNA from 1 species
ACUAAAUAGAUACCCGGGUAGUCCCAGCUGUAAACGAUGCAGACUAGGUGUUUGGACGGCCACGUGCCGUUCUAGUGCCGCAGGGAAGCUGUUAAGUCUGCCGCCUGGGGAGUACGAUCGCAAGAUUGAAACUUAAAGGAAUUGGCGGGGGAGCACCACAAGGGGUGAAGCUUGCGGUUUAAUUGGAGUCAACGCCGGAAAUCUCACCGGGAGCGACAGCAGUAUGAAAGCCAGAUUGAAGGUCUUGCUAGACGAGCUGAGAGGAGGUGCAUGGCCGUCGCCAGUUCGUGCCGUGAGGUGUCCUGUUAAGUCAGGCAACGAUCGAGACCCGCGUCCUCUGUUGCAACCAGCUUUGUGCUAGGCACACUGAGGGACGACCGCCACUGAAUAAAGGUGGAA